GUUCUGAGCUGUUUUGAGAAUUCUCGCCAGAGCACAGUAAAAAAGAAGUCUGCCUUACAACGUGAACUGGGCAGUGUUUAAAGCUCCUAAUUCUUACUCUCAGGGAGGGAAACUCCCACAUUUGGAUUACAUUUAAGCUCUGACAGCAAGAACAAGCCUAUUUCCUGGCCAGGCUCUAGCGUCCCCAGCGAGAUCAGGAACUCAACUGGCUCUUCCAGAGGCUAGAGGAACAUCUAGCCAAGGAUGGCUCUCCUCCCCACAGGAGGGUGACAAAAGAGGAGAACGUGUGAACCAAAACCAGCUAUGACUCCCUGAUUCUCUACCCCAGCUCCAGCCCAGGUAAACAAGCAUUCGGUAUUAUAGCACAGAGCUGCAGGAUGGUCCUCUGAAGUGUAACAGAGUAGGAAAUAGCAUCCUGUGCUUCCAAUAGCAUUACAAAUGGGAAUCUAUGACAGCUC